GCUUGCUUCUCUGAUGUUAGCGGCGGACGGGUGAGUAACACGUGGGUAACCUACCUAUAAGACUGGGAUAACUCCGGGAAACCGGGGCUAAUACCGGAUAAUAUUUUGAACCGCAGGGUUCAAUAGUGAAAGACGGUUUCGGCUGUCACUUAUAGAUGGACCCGCGCCGUAUUAGCUAGUUGGUAAGGUAACGGCUUACCAAGGCGACGAUACGUAGCCGACCUGAGAGGGUGAUCGGCCACACUGGAACUGAGACACGGUCCAGACUCCUACGGGAGGCAGCAGUAGGGAAUCUUCCGCAAUGGGCGAAAGCCUGACGGAGCAACGCCGCGUGAGUGAUGAAGGUCUUCGGAUCGUAAAACUCUGUUGUUAGGGAAGAACAAAUUUGUUAGUAACUGAACAAGUCUUGACGGUACCUAACCAGAAAGCCACGGCUAACUACGUGCCAGCAGCCGCGGUAAUACGUAGGUGGCAAGCGUUAUCCGGAAUUAUUGGGCGUAAAGCGCGCGUAGGCGGUUUCUUAAGUCUGAUGUGAAAGCCCACGGCUCAACCGUGGAGGGUCAUUGGAAACUGGGAAACUUGAGUGCAGAAGAGGAGAGUGGAAUUCCAUGUGUAGCGGUGAAAUGCGCAGAGAUAUGGAGGAACACCAGUGGCGAAGGCGGCUCUCUGGUCUGUAACUGACGCUGAUGUGCGAAAGCGUGGGGAUCAAACAGGAUUAGAUACCCUGGUAGUCCACGCCGUAAACGAUGAGUGCUAAGUGUUAGGGGGUUUCCGCCCCUUAGUGCUGCAGCUAACGCAUUAAGCACU
rnacentral:rRNA from 2 species